GAUGAACGCUGGCGGCGUGCCUAAUACAUGCAAGUCGAGCGAACAGACGAGGAGCUUGCUCCUCUGACGUUAGCGGCGGACGGGUGAGUAACACGUGGAUAACCUACCUAUAAGACUGGGAUAACUUCGGGAAACCGGAGCUAAUACCGGAUAAUAUAUUGAACCACAUGGUUCAAUAGUGAAAAACGGUUUUGCUGUCACUUAUAGAUGGAUCCGCGCCGCAUUAGCUAGUUGGUAAGGUAACGGCUUACCAAGGCGACGAUGCGUAGCCGACCUGAGAGGGUGAUCGGCCACACUGGAACUGAGACACGGUCCAGACUCCUACGGGAGGCAGCAGUAGGGAAUCUUCCGCAAUGGGCGAAAGCCUGACGGAGCAACGCCGCGUGAGUGAUGAAGGUCUUCGGAUCGUAAAACUCUGUUAUUAGGGAAGAACAAAUGUGUAAGUAACUAUGCACGUCUUGACGGUACCUAAUCAGAAAGCCACGGCUAACUACGUG
rnacentral:rRNA from 1 species